rnacentral:rRNA from 1 species
UACGGGGGGGGCAAGCGUUGUUCGGAAUUACUGGGCGUAAAGGGUUCGUAGGUGGCCAACUAAGUCAGACGUGAAAUCCCUCAGCUUAACUGGGGAACUGCGUCUGAGACUGGAUGGCUUGAGUUUGGGAGAGGGACGCGGAAUUCCAGGUGUAGCGGUGAAAUGCGUAGAUAUCUGGAGGAACACCGGUGGCGAAGGCGGCGUCCUGGACCAACACUGACACUGAUGAGCGAAAGCCAGGGGAGCAAACGGG